GCGCCCGUAGCUCAGUUGGAUAGAGCGUCUGACUACGAAUCAGAAGGCCGGGGGUUCAAAUCCCUCCGGGCGCA
rnacentral:tRNA from 1 species